rnacentral:rRNA from 1 species
CGGGUGAGUAAUGCGUGACCAACCUGCCCCAUGCUCCAGAAUAGCUCUUGGAAACGGGUGGUAAUGCUGGAUGCACCAACUUGACGCAUGUCUUGUUGGGAAAGUGUUUAGUGGCAUGGGAUGGGGUCGCGUCCUAUCAGCUUGUAGGCGGGGUAAUGGCCCACCUAGGCUUCGACGGGUAGCCGGCCUGAGAGGGCGGACGGCCACAUUGGGACUGAGAUACGGCCCAGACUCCUACGGGAGGCAGCAGCC